ACACCACGCUCUUCUGACCAGGCCAGUCUUCUGCAGAGGUGCCGCAGACUAAUUUUGAAAUUAUCCCUUAUUAAAAGACUUAAUGCAAUCUCUGCCUGUGUCAACCCCUGAUCAAAAUAUUGCCUUAUUAGGUGAUCGAUUAUUCCAGACAUUCUAAAGACCAGCGUUG